rnacentral:rRNA from 1 species
AUACAUCAAAACUCCUGUUUUAACGGUGUUGUCUGAGCUACAAGCAACGAAUCAAAACUUUCAACAACGGAUCUCUUGGUUCUGGCAUCGAUGAAGAACGCAGCGAAAUGCGAUAAGUAGUGUGAAUUGCAGAAUUCAGUGAAUCAUCGAAUCUUUGAACGCACAUUGCGCCCCUUGGUAUCCCGAGGGGCAUGCCUGUUCGAGCGUCACUUCACCACUCAAGCCUGGCUUGGUGUUGGGCGACGUCCCCUUUGGGGAUGCGCCUCGAAACGCUCGGCGGCGUGGCACCGGCUUUAAGCGUAGCAGAAUCUUUCGCUUUGAAAGUCGGGGCCCCGUCUGCCGGAAGACCUACUCGCAAGGUUGACCUCGGAUCAGGCAGGGAUACCCGCUGAACUUAA